UGUAAAUACGAGGAGUGAGUGUUGCGCCGAGCAUGAUCUUCAAACAAGCGUGUGAAGAAUUGGAGCUGCUGAAGAGGUAAACUACGCUCUUGUGUGAUCCAGGUGACUAAUGUUCGGAUCCUAACAUAGAUUCAUCAUUGACAUGAGGAAAGGAGCUCGUGGUCUUGUGGUAGCGUUCUCGCUUCCCGCGCAAGGGGUCCCGGGUUCGAUUCCCGGCGGGCUCAGGGAUUUUCCAUGCCUCGAGAUGACUGGGUGUUGUUGUGUCGUCUUCAUCAUCAUCAUUCAUCCCGAUUACGGUAGGAGGAAGCCAAUG